UACAGAGGGUGCAAGCGUUAAUCGGAAUGACUGGGCGUAAAGCGCACGUAGGUGGUUUGUUAAGUUAGGUGUGAAAGUCCUGGGCUCAACCUGGGGAGGUCACCUAAUACUGGCAGACUAGAGUACAGUAGAGGGAAGUGGAAUUUCCGGUGUAGCGGUGAAAUGCGUAGAUAUCGGAAGGAACAUCAGUGGCGAAGGCGACUUCCUGGACUGAUACUGACACUGAGGAGCGAAAGCGUGGGUAGCGAACGGG
rnacentral:rRNA from 1 species